CAAGGAAUUGACGGGGGCCCGCACAAGCGGUGGAGCAUGUGGGUUUAAUUCGAAGCAACGCGAAGAACCUUACCAGGCCUUGACAUGCAGAGAACUUUCCAGAGAUGGAUUGGUGCCUUCGGGAACUCUGACACAGGUGCUGCAUGGUUGUCGUCAGCUCGUGCCGUGAGGUGUCGGGUUAAGUCCCAUAACGAGCGCAACCCUUGUCCUUAGUUACCAGCACGUUAUGGUGGGCACUCUAAGGAGACUGCCGGUGACAAACCGGAGGAAGGUGGGGAUGACGUCAAGUCAUCAUGGCCCUUACGGCCUGGGCUACACACGUGCUACAAUGGUCGGUACAAAGGGUUGCCAAGCCGCGAGGUGGAGCUAAUCCCAUAAAACCGAUCGUAGUCCGGAUCGCAGUCUGCAACUCGACUGCGUGAAGUCGGAAUCGCUAGUAAUCGCAGAUCAGCCAAGCUGCGGUGAAUACGUUCCCGGGCCUU
rnacentral:rRNA from 1 species